rnacentral:ncRNA from 17 species
AUCAGGGGCCGCGUAACGGGUGCCCGCAAGGGCUUAAUCGGGAAGUCCGGCAGGCUGGCGACGCCAGCCCAAUCCGGCACUGCUCCCGCAACUGUAACCGGUGAGCGGACCGCCAUCGCGCCAUUGCAAGGGCAUCGCGCCCUUUCGAGAAGGCGGCGGUAUCGCGUCGAACCGGUAAGUCAGGAAACCGGCCCGUUGCCGUCGUUCUUCG